GCCCGGAUGGCUCAGUGGUAGAGCGUCUUCUUGGUAAGAAGAAGGUCGAGAGUUCGAUUCUCUCUCCGGGCUCAA
rnacentral:tRNA from 2 species